rnacentral:rRNA from 1 species
GGUCAAGCGAAUAAGUGCAUGUGGUGGAUGCCUUGGCGAUUACAGGCGAUGAAGGACGUAGUAGCCUGCGAAAAGCUGCGGGGAGCUGGCAAACGAGCUUUGAUCCGCAGAUAUCCGAAUGGGGAAACCCGGCCCGUAUGGGUCAUCUGUUACUGAAUACAUAGGUAACAGAAGCGAACGCAGUGAACUGAAACAUCUAAGUAGCUGCAGGAACAGAAAUCAACCGAGAUUCCCAAAGUAGUGGCGAGCGAAAUGGGAUCAGCCUUGUACUCUUUAGCAGUAUUGUUAGCAAAGCGGAAUGGAAAGUCCGGCCAUAGUGGGUGAUAGCCCCGUAUGCGAAAACAGUAUUGUGGAACUAGGUGUACGACAAGUAGGGCGGGACACGUGAAAUCCUGUCUGAAGAUGGGGGGACCAUCCUCCAAGGC